rnacentral:rRNA from 1 species
UACGGAGGAUCCAAGCGUUAUCCGGAAUCAUUGGGUUUAAAGGGUCCGUAGGCGGUUUUGUAAGUCAGUGGUGAAAGCCCAUCGCUCAACGGUGGAACGGCCAUUGAUACUGCAAGACUUGAAUUAUUAGGAAGUAACUAGAAUAUGUAGUGUAGCGGUGAAAUGCUUAGAGAUUACAUGGAAUACCAAUUGCGAAGGCAGGUUACUACUAAUGGAUUGACGCUGAUGGACGAAAAGCGUGGGGGAGCGAAACAGGGAUUAGAAA